CCUUCGGGUCAUAUGGGGGAGUGGCGAACGGGUGAGUAACACGUGAGAAACCUGCCUAGAAGAUCGGGACAACCACGGGAAACUGUGGCCAAUACCGUAUACCUUCUUACCGUCGCAUGGCGGUUUGAAGAAAUGCUCCGGCGCUUCUAGAGGGUCUCGCGGCCUAUCAGCUAGUUGGUGAGGUAAUGGCUCACCAAGGCAUCGACGGGUAGCUGGUCUGGGAGGACGAUCAGCCACACUGGGACUGAGACACGGCCCAGACUCCUACGGGAGGCAGCGGUGGGGAAUCUUGCGCAAUGGGCGAAGGCCUGACGCAGCGAUGCCGCGUGGGGGAUGAAGGCCUUCGGGUCGUAAACCCCUUUCAGCAGGGACGAAAAUGACGGUACCUGCAGAAGAAGCCCCGGCCAACUACGUGCCAGCAGCCGCGGUAACACGUAGGGGGCAAGCGUUGUCCGGAUUUAUUGGGCGUAAAGGGCUCGUAGGCUGUUCAGUAAGUCAGGUGUGAAAACCCAAGGCUCAACCUUGGGACGCCACUUGAUACUGCUGUGACUAGAGUCCGGUAGAGGAGAUUGGAAUUCCUGGUGUAGCGGUGAAAUGCGCAGAUAUCAGGAGGAACACCAACGGCGAAAGCAGAUCUCUGGGCCGGUACUGACGCUGAGGAGCGAAAGCAUGGGGAGCGAACAGGAUUAGAUACCCUGGUAGUCCAUGCCGUAAACGUUGGGCACUAGGUGU
rnacentral:rRNA from 1 species